CCUACGGGCGGCAGCAGUCGAGAAUCAUUCACAAUGGGGGAAACCCUGAUGGUGCGACGCCGCGUGGGGGAAUGAAGCUCUUCGGAUUGUAAACCCCUGUUAUGUGGGAGCAAAUUAAAAUGAUAGUACCCCAACAGGAAGAGACGGCUGACUCGGUGCCAGCAGCCGCGGUAAUACAGAGGUCUCAAGCGUUGUUCGGAAUCACUGGGCGUAAAGCGUGUGUAGGCUGUUUCGUAAGUCGUGUGUGAAAGGCGCGGGCUCAACCCGCGGACGGCACAUGAUACUGCGAGACUAGAGUGAGGGAGAGGGAACCGGAAUUCUCGGUGUAGCAGUGAAAUGCGUAGAUAUCGAGAGGAACACUCGUGGCGAAGGCGGGUUACUGGACAUUAACUGACGCUGAGGCACGAAGGCCAGGGGAGCGAAAGGGAUUAGAUACCCUUGUAGUC
rnacentral:rRNA from 1 species